AUGUGCUGUGAAGUGCCACAGGAGGGAGGUGUUGCCCGCACCAGAAGUCAUGCAUGCACCUCAGUCCAACGCACCAUGCCUGCACCGGUGCUUGCACUGAGCCACAGCAUGCUGGAGCACAGCAAAACCAUGCAGGAACACUGCAUGCACGUGAGGUGUUACCUGGCUGGCCGUGCAGUUGGAGACGCAGGUCUUGCCAUCGCUGCCCAAGUAGAAGUUGGUGGGACACGCACACUUGUGCCCCCCACCCGGAGACAGAAGGCAGAGGUUGCUGCAGCCGGCGUUGUUGGUUUUACAGGGGUGGUUUGGAACUGGCAAAGUGAGAGGGAGAGAGCUGAGUCAGACCCGGGGGAGGGCCCUGGGUUGUCCCCCAGCUGCAGGUCCCCACUCACAGCACACGUCUGCCUUUGUGUCCCCCUGCUCCCCGCCUGGCACCCCCAGACCCUGUCGGCAUCGUGUGCCCAGUCUGGCCCUCCUGCACUGCUCCUCAGAGCCCCCCAGCUCACCGUCGGGCUGCCGGUACGGGUGGUAGAUGUGGAUGUCCAUGGGGCGGUGCAGAGUGCUGAUCAGCAGCGUCUUGUUGGCACCUGUGGUCUUGUGGGCUCGGUUGAUGGAUUUGGUCUCCCAGUCGGUCCAAUAAAUAUAAUCCUCAAAGAGGGUGAGCGCAAAGAUGUGCGGGAUGUCCUGGCUCAGCACUGCGUGGGGGAGAGGGCAGCUCAGCAAGGGGCAGCUUGCAGACCCCCAACCUGCCUUCAACAGCAGGGUCAGCUCUGCUGGGAGCCAGCAAUGGGAGCUGGGGAUCCCACCCCAAACCCAGACUCCAGCUCAGAACCUCAGGACCCCACUAGUGCCCAGAAGGGCUGCACAGCUCUCACCUGUGUGCCUGUUGGAGCCAUCCAGGCUGGCAAAUUCAAUGUAGUCCUCCCGGGCAUCUGCCCAAUAGAUGCGACUGUUGAUGUAGUCGAGCGUGAGGCCGUUGGGCCACGUUAUCUUGGUGUCAACGAUGACGCUACGGUUAGUGCCAUCCAUGCCAAUCUUCCCAAUCAGCCCCCAGGCGGCUCUGGUCCACGGUGUGCCUGGUGA
rnacentral:lncRNA from 1 species